AAAGGUUUAAUCAUGGUCAAAAAAGGGCUUGUCUCUUUUUUGACUUAACCAUGAUCUAUCCACUAUGUGCAUUUAUUGAAAUAUGCUUUGGCAAGGACGAAAGUUCUUGUCAGAGAUUUUCUUUAAUACCCUUAAAUGUUUGACUGAUAAAAUUUUUAAAAUAAUAAAAAUA
rnacentral:misc_RNA from 1 species